UCCUCGAUUUGCAUGCUCUCUCGCCGGUCAGACAGACGAGAGAGCAUGCAAAUCGAGGAGA
rfam:Pristionchus pacificus strain PS312 contig9287, whole genome shotgun sequence.